GCUACGCAGACUUUCUGUACUGUAAUUUGAAACAUUACAGAAAGCGUGUGUGUG
rnacentral:pre_miRNA from 1 species